UACGUGGGGCGCAAGCGUUAUCCGGAAUUAUUGGGCGUAAAGAGCUCGUAGGCGGCUUGUCGCGUCGACUGUGAAAACUCGGGGCUCAACUCCGAGCUUGCAGUCGAUACGGGCAGGCUAGAGUUCGGUAGGGGAGACUGGAAUUCCUGGUGUAGCGGUGAAAUGCGUAGAUAUUGGGAGGAACACCAGUGGCGAAGGCGGCUCACUGGACCGGUACUGACGCUGAUGCGCGAAAGCGUGGGGAGCAAACGGG
rnacentral:rRNA from 1 species